CUGCUGAAGAGGUUGAAGAUGAUGCUGAAGCUGGAGAUUGCCCGUCCAUUAUUGCCUCAUAGUACAGCCUUCCUCUGUAAGCAACAAGGUCAGCAUAGUACACUGGUGGGACCAAGGACACAGGUUUCGUGCAUCGAGCAAAUGUGUAGCACAUGUUGUAUAUGAGCUUCUGCAAUUGGUCAGAACUGAAACCAUGCUCAUCCCAUAG
rnacentral:misc_RNA from 1 species